rnacentral:rRNA from 1 species
AACGAACGCUGGCGGCAGGCCUAACACAUGCGAGUCGAACGCUGUAGCAAUACAGAGUGGCAGACGGGUGAGUAACACGUGGGAAUCUUCCUAUCGGUACGGAAUAGCUCAGGGAAACUUGGGGUAAUACCGCAUACGCCCUUCGGGGGAAAGAUUUAUCGCCGAUAGAUGAGCCCGCGUCUGAUUAGCUAGUUGGUGAGGUAAUGGCUCACCAAGGCGACGAUCAGUAGCUGGUCUGAGAGGAUGACCAGCCACACUGGGACUGAGACACGGCCCAGACUCCUACGAGAGGCAGCAGUGGGGAAUAUUGGACAAUGGGCGCAAGCCUGAUCCAGCCAUGCCGCGUGAGUGACGAAGGUCUUCGGAUUGUAAAGCUCUUUUGGCGGGGACGAUAAUGACGGUACCCGCAGAAUAAGCCCCGGCUAACUUCGUGCCAGCCGCCGCAGUAA